rnacentral:rRNA from 1 species
AGUGAACGCUGGCGGUAGGCCUAACACAUGCAAGUCGAACGGCAGCACAGUAAGAGCUUGCUCUUACGGGUGGCGAGUGGCGGACGGGUGAGGAAUACAUCGGAAUCUACUUUUUCGGGGGGGAUAACGUAGGGAAACCUACGCUAAUACCGCAUACGACCUACGGGUGAAAGCAGGGGAUCUUCGGACCUUGCGCGAUUGAAUGAGCCGAUGUCGGAUUAGCUAGUUGGCGGGGUAAAGGCCCACCAAGGCGACGAUCCGUAGCUGGUCUGAGAGGAUGAUCAGCCACACUGGAACUGAGACACGGUCCAGACUCCUACGGGAGGCAGCAGUGGGGAAUAUUGGACAAUGGGCGCAAGCCUGAUCCAGCCAUACCGCGUGGGUGAAGAAGGCCUUCGGGUUGUAAAGCCCUUUUGUUGGGAAAGAAAAGCAGCAGGUUAAUACCCCGCUGUUCUGACGGUACCCAAAGAAUAAGCACCGGCUAACUUCGUG